UACGUAGGUGGCAAGCGUUGUCCGGAAUCAUUGGGCGUAAAGCGCGCGCAGGCGGUCCCUUAAGUCUGAUGUGAAAGCCCACGGCUCAACCGUGGAGGGUCAUUGGAAACUGGGGGACUUGAGUGCAGAAGAGGAAAGUGGAAUUCCAUGUGUAGCGGUGAAAUGCGUAGAGAUGUGGAGGAACACCAGUGGCGAAGGCGACUUUCUGGUCUGUAACUGACGCUGAGGCGCGAAAGCGUGGGGAGCAAACAGG
rnacentral:rRNA from 1 species